rnacentral:rRNA from 1 species
ACCGGAGCUAAUACCGGAUAAUAUAUUGAAUCGCAUGGUUCAAUAGUGAAAGACGGUUUUGCUGUCACUUAUAGAUGGAUCCGCGCCGCAUUAGCUAGUUGGUAAGGUAACGGCUUACCAAGGCAACGAUGCGUAGCCGACCUGAGAGGGUGAUCGGCCACACUGGAACUGAGACACGGUCCAG